rnacentral:rRNA from 1 species
GAUGAACGCUGGCGGCGUGCCUAAUACAUGCAAGUCGAGCGAACAGACGAGGAGCUUGCUCCUCUGACGUUAGCGGCGGACGGGUGAGUAACACGUGGAUAACCUACCUAUAAGACUGGGAUAACUUCGGGAAACCGGAGCUAAUACCGGAUAAUAUAUUGAACCGCAUGGUUCAAUAGUGAAAGACGGUUUUGCUGUCACUUAUAGAUGGAUCCGCGCCGCAUUAGCUAGUUGGUAAGGUAACGGCUUACCAAGGCAACGAUGCGUAGCCGACCUGAGAGGGGGAUCGGCCACACUGGAACUGAGACACGGUCCAGACUCCUACGGGAGGCAGCAGUAGGGAAUCUUCCGCAAUGGGCGAAAGCCUGACGGAGCAACGCCGCGUGAGUGAUGAAGGUCUUCGGAUCGUAAAACUCUGUUAUUAGGGAAGAACAAAUGUGUAAGUAACUAUGCACGUCUUGACGGUACCUAAUCAGAAAACCACGGCUAACUACGU